AUUGAACGCUGGCGGCAGGCCUAACACAUGCAAGUCGAACGAGUGGCGGACGGGUGAGUAAUGUCUGGGAAACUGCCUGAUGGAGGGGGAUAACUACUGGAAACGGUAGCUAAUACCGCAUACCAUCGGAUGUGCCCAGCUGGGAUUGGCUAGUAGGUGGGGUAAAGGCUCACCGAGGCGACGAUCCCUAGCUGGUCUGAGAGGAUGACCAGCCACAUUGGAACUGAGACACGGGCAAGACUCCUACGGGAGGCAGCAGUGGGGAAUAUUGCACAAUGGGCGCAAGCCUGAGGCAGCCAUGCCGGUUGGAUGUAGAAGGCCUUCGGGUUGUAAAGUACUUUCAGCGGGGAGGCGUUACCCGCAUAAGAAGCACCGGCUAACUCCGUGCCAGCAGCCGCGGUAAUUC
rnacentral:rRNA from 1 species